GCCGUUUUCAAUGAUGGAGUUUCCGAAUUGACGAUCGGCUCCGUUAAACUUGAUCUAGAGUAUUUGAAGCUUCUAGAAAAUAAUUUUUGUAAUUUUUCGAUAUCAUUUACCUAGCAAAUGAAAGGAUUUAAAAUCAAUAAUUUUUAACGGCAGAAAAUAAAAAUCCUAUAAAAAGUGGUGAUAUAGCACUAAAAUUUUCGAUCAGAAUAUUGAUCUUGUUGUAGAUAGUAUAAAGAAUUUUGCAUCAAAAUAUCAUCUGAUUUGAAUACUUCUGCAUCGUUAAACUUGAAAACAGCAGAUAUCAACCAUUAAAAAUUAUGGAUUUUGAAUCCUUUCAAUCACUAGGUAAAUAAUAUUGAAAAAUCGCAAAAACUAUUUUCUAGAAACUUCAAAUGACCUAGAUCAAGUCUAAUGGAGCCGAUCGUCGAUUCGAAAAUUCCAUCAUUGAAAACGGCUCAGGAGCACGGAGGCCUCCGUGCUCCUAAGAGCACAGCAGCCCUGCUCUCUCUCUCUCUCU
rnacentral:lncRNA from 1 species